rnacentral:rRNA from 1 species
CGGGUGAGUAAUGCAUAGAUAAUGUGCCCCUUAGUUCGGGAUAGCCACUGGAAACGGUGAUUAAUACCGGAUACUCCUUCUUGUUAUAAGACAAGUCGGGAAAGUUUUUCGCUAAGGGAUCAGUCUAUGUUCCAUCAGCUUGUUGGUGAGGUAAUGGCUCACCAAGGCUAUGACGGAUAUCUGGUUUGAGAGGAUGAUCAGACACACUGGAACUGAGACACGGUCCAGACUCCUACGGGAGGCAGCAGUGAGGAAUAUUGCACAAUGGAGGAAACUCUGAUGCAGCAACGCCGCGUGGAGGAUGACGCAUUUCGGUGUGUAAACUCCUUUUAUUAGGGAAGAUAAUGACGGUACCUAAUGAAUAAGCACCGGCUAACUCCGUGCCAGCAGCCGCGGUAAUACGGAGGGUGCAAGCGUUACUCGGAAUCACUGGGCGUAAAGGGUGCGUAGGCUGGCUUUUAAGUCAGAUGUGAAAUCCAAUGGCUCAACCAUUGAACUGCAUUUGAAACUGAAAGCCUAGAGUUCAGAAGGGGCAGAUGGAAUUAGUGGUGUAGGGGUAAAAUCCGUAGAUAUCACUAGGAAUAUCAAAAGCGAAGGCGAUCUGCUGGGAUGAUACUGA